rnacentral:rRNA from 1 species
CAGCCGCCACGGUAAUACGAGGGGGGCAAGCGUUGUUCGGAAUUAUUGGGCGUAAAGGGUGCGUAGGCGGUUUGACAAGUCUUAUGUGAAAUCUCUGGGCUCAACCCAGAGUCUGCAUGGGAAACUGUCGAGCUUGAGUAUGGGAGAGGUGAGUGGAAUUUCCGGUGUAGCGGUGAAAUGCGUAGAUAUCGGAAGGAACACCUGUGGCGAAAGCGGCUCACUGGACCAUUACUGACGCUGAUGCACGAAAGCUAGGGGAGCAAACAGGAUUAGAUACCCCCGUAGUCCCUGUCUCUUAUAC